rnacentral:rRNA from 1 species
UGAUUCCCCUAGUAACUGCGAGUGAAGCGGGAAAAGCUCAAAUUUAAAAUCUGGCGGUCAUGCCGUCCGAGUUGUAAUCUGGAGAAGCGUUUUCCGUGUUGGACCGUGUACAAGUCUCUUGGAACAGAGCGUCAUAGAGGGUGAGAAUCCCGUCUUUGACACGGACUACCAAUGCUUUGUGAUACGCUCUCAAAGAGUCGAGUUGUUUGGGAAUGCAGCUCAAAAUGGGUGGUAAAUGCCAUCUAAAGCUAAAUAUUGGCGAGAGACCGAUAGCGAACAAGUACCGUGAGGGAAAGAUGAAAAGCACUUUGGAAAGAGAGUUAAACAGUACGUGAAAUUGUUGAAAGGGAAACGCUUGAAGUCAGUCGCGUUGUCUGGGACUCAGCCUUGCUUCUGCAUGGUGUAUUUCCUGGUUAACGGGCCAACAUCGAUUUUGGUCGGUGGAUAAAGUCAAGAGGAAUGUGGCACCUUCGGGUGUGUUAUAGCCUCUUGUCGGAUGCAUCGACUGGGAUCGAGGAUCGCAGCACGCCUUUUUGGCCGGGGUUCGCCCACGUAACGUGCUUAGGAUGUUGGCAUAAUGGCUUUAAUCGACCCGUCUUGAAACACGGACCAAGGAGUCUAACAUGCCCGCGAGUGUUAGGGUGGAAAACCCUUGCGCGUAAUGAAAGUGAAAGUUGGGACCUCUGUCAUGGGGGGCACCGACGCCCGGCCUUGAACUUCUGUGACGGCGCCGCGGUAGAGCGUGUAUGUUGGGACCCGAAAGAUGGUGAACUAUGCCUGAAUAGGGCGAAGCCAGAGGAAACUCUGGUGGAGGCUCGUAGCGAUUCUGACGUGCAAAUCGAUCGUCAAAUUUGGGUAUAGGGGCGAAAGACUAAUCGAACC